rnacentral:tRNA from 1 species
CAGAGGACAGUUUAAUGUAAAAUGUCAGCUUUAGGAGCUGGAGAUAGAGGUUUGAGCCCUCUUUUCCUGA